ACAUCAGGAAUCUGGCUCUCUACCGUCCUUUCUCUCCUUGGAAGAGUCUGCAGCCCACUCGGACCUGCUUUUAGCUCAAAGAGGUAGCAUCAGCAUCCUCAGAAGAUGCCAACUUUUUGAGUCAUCGACAUCCUUUAAAGAUACAGGGGGAUCACCUUGAGCUCCAGAAAUGCAAAUCAACUGGAAAAACACCAGCUGGCCUUAAUCUUUCAACAUUGCAGUUGAGUCUGCCUCAUGUCAGCAGGCUAGCAGGAAUCCCGUCUGUUGCGACAGGCUUGGUGUCCUCAGAGAUGUUGUGGUUCCUGCUCCUCCAUCUUCCUUGGAGUUUUGACUUCUGUCUUCCCGUUGUCACCUCAACUUUGCAAGGCACCUUUUCUCAAAACCCAGCCAUCACGUGCAGCUUCCAAGCAAGAACAGGAGGAUGAUGCGGGGAAAAAUAGCUCUUUCACCAUGACAGGAUCCUCAUGCGAAUGAGGCAAAGGGUCAGCACACUGGCCGGCUGCCCCUCCAGGCUGCGGAAUCCUGUGGUCAACACCGAGUGCCAUCCGGCCAGGGCUGGGGACCCAGGCAGCUCCGGCAGACAAACAAGAACAGAUGACUACGAAGACCGGAUAGAGCGCAGAGGAAAGGCAGAGACGUCGGAGAACCUCGGAGAGCCGUUUGGGGUAUUUGGUAAAGCAUCCUGGCUUAGUGCAGGUUUGUUCAAAACAGCAGUGUUUUAGGACUCUAAAGUGAUGCAUUAUGACAACUUUUCAUCUUCCAUUCUAGGCUGUUAACUGAAGUAUGUAUGAAGAUAACAACAAUUACUUUAAAGGACUUUGAAGAAAUGCAUCGAUUUUUAAAAAGUGUAAUGUAAGAGAAAACCAAGGAGCUAAAGGUGUAGGGAAGGUGUGAUACG